rnacentral:tRNA from 1 species
AAGUAAUAUAUAGUGAACUUCUAAUUCAUUAAUAAAUAUUAUAAAUAUUUUUACUUUUA